rnacentral:lncRNA from 1 species
ACUAUUUCUUCCAAGCGCCUCCCAAGAUCAUCCUGCUGAGUGACACAUCCCUUAACUGUCCACCUCUGCUCCGACUGGCCACCCUUCUCAGUGACAAAGCUAGUGUCUGGAUGUUGUUGAUGUACUGCAAGGAGAAGCAGACUAAACUAGAUAGUGCCAGUGGAGUUCAGAGCAGCCACCAGUCUGGCACCAUUCUUUGACACCAAGUCCCCUGAAAAUCACCAUGACGCUGCCUCCCGAUGUUUGACAACAUCCCGAAAACAACUGGGACACAUGUGUUCACACUUUAUACAUCUAAACUAUAACGCUCUGUCAGAAUCGACCAAAUAGAAGAAAAUGCCAAUUAAACAGAGAGAGCCAAGUGCAAGUGUAUCUUCUAUUCACCUCUAUUUAGCUUGGACAGCCUUCGCCUGUUUGACAUGGAGAGGCAAAAUGAUAAGAUGUCCUCUAGCUCGUGAAUAACAGCUUGGGAAGAAAAAAGACUAUCAACAGAGACCAGUUAGGCAGCUGGCACGUAAG